rnacentral:rRNA from 1 species
GACGAACGCUGGCGGCGUGCUUUAGGCAUGCAAGUCGAACGCGAAAGCCCCUUCGGGGGUGAGUAGAGUGGCGAACGGGUGAGUAACACGUGGGUAACCUGCCCCUCGCAGGGGGAUAACCGGGGGAAACCCCGGCUAAUACCCCGUACGCUUGCUGGGACGCAUGCUCCGGCAAGGAAAGGUAGCUUCGGCCAUCCGGCGAGGGAGGGGCCCGCGGCCCAUUAGCUAGUUGGUGGGGUAACGGCCCACCAAGGCGACGAUGGGUAGCUGGCCUGAGAGGGUGGUCAGCCACACUGGGACUGAGACACGGCCCAGACUCCUACGGGAGGCAGCAGCCAGGAAUCUUGCGCAAUGGGCGAAAGCCUGACGCAGCAACGCCGCGUGGGCGAUGAAGGCCUUCGGGUCGUAAAGCCCUGUUGUCGGGGACGAAGGGCGAAGGGUUAAUAGCCCCUAGCCUGACGGUACCCGACGAGGAAGCCCCGGCUAACUACGUG